rnacentral:rRNA from 1 species
GGGGGGGGAGCGAGCGUUGUUCGGAAUUACUGGGCGUAAAGGGCGCGUAGGCGGGCUGGGGUCAGUCGCGUGUGAAAGGGCCGGGGGCUCAACCCCGAGCAUUGCACGUGAUACUGCCCCCGGCUCGAGAGAGGUAGGGGCGAGUGGAAUUCCCGGUGUAGCGGUGGAAUGCGUAGAUAUCGGGAAGAACACCUGUGGCGAAGGCGGCUCGCUGGACCUUUUCUGACGCUGAAGCGCGAAAGCGUGGGGAGCAAACAGGAUUAGAUACCCUGGUAGUCCACGCCGUAAACGAUGGGUACUAGGUGUUGGGAGGAUUGACCCUUUCAGUGCCGGCGCUAACGCAUUAAGUACCCCGCCUGGGGAGUACGGUCGCAAAGGCUG